AGAGUUUGAUCCUGGCUCAGGAUGAACGCUAGCGGCAGGCCUAAUACAUGCAAGUCGAACGGUAAAUAUUUAGCAAUAAAUAUGAGAGUGACGUACGGGUGCGUAACACGUAUGCAACCUACCCUUUACAGGCGGAUAGCUCGGGGAAACUCGAAUUAACCCGCCGUAAUAUAAUUGGAUGGCAUCAUCUGGUUAUUAAAUCUACGGAGGUAAAGGAUGGGCAUGCGUCUGAUUAGUUAGUUGGCGGGGUAACGGCCCACCAAGACGAUGAUCAGUAGGGGAACUGAGAGGUUGAUCCCCCACACUGGCACUGAGAUACGGGCCAGACUCCUACGGGAGGCAGCAGUAGGGAAUAUUGGUCAAUGGAUGGAAGUCUGAACCAGCCAUGCCGCGUGCAGGAAGAAGGCCUUCUGGGUUGUAAACUGCUUUUGCCAGGGGAUAAAAUGACCUUGCGAGGUUAAUUGAAGGUACCUGGUGAAUAAGCCACGGCUAACUACGUGCCAGCAGCCGCGGUAAUACGUAGGUGGCAAGCGUUGUCCGGAUUUAUUGGGUUUAAAGGGUGCGUAGGCGGCUUAUUAAGUCAGUGGUGAAAUACUCUAGCUCAACUAGAGGGGUGCCAUUGAUACUGAUGAGCUUGAGUACAGAUGAGGUAGGCGGAAUUGACGGUGUAGCGGUGAAAUGCUUAGAUAUCGUCAAGAACACCUAUAGCGAAGGCAGCUUACUAGGCUGUAACUGACGCUGAGGCACGAAAGUGUGGGGAUCAAACAGGAUUAGAUACCCUGGUAGUCCACACUGUAAACGUUGAUUACUCGCUGUGUGCGAUAUACAGUACGCGGCGCCGCUAACGCAUGAAGCAUUCCGCCUGGGGAGUACGCCGGCAACGGUGAAACUCAAAGGAAUUGACGGGGGCCCGCACAAGCGGUGGAGCAUGUGGUUUAAUUCGACGCAACGCGCAGAACCUUACCAGCCCUUGACAUGGGACGUUUGGGCCUGAGAGAUCGGGUCCUUCAGUUCGGCUGGCGUCCACACAGGUGCUGCAUGGCUGUCGUCAGCUCGUGUCGUGAGAUGUUGGGUUAAGUCCCGCAACGAGCGCAACCCUCAUCCUUAGUUGCCAUCAGGUAGGGCUGGGCACUCUAGGGAAACUGCCGGUGACAAGCCGGAGGAAGGCGGGGAUGACGUCAAGUCCUCAUGGCCCUUACGGGCUGGGCUACACACGUGCUACAAUGGCGGUGACAGUAGGAAGCAAUGGGGCGACCCGGAGCCAAUCCACUAAAAGCCGUCUCAGUUCGGAUUGUUCUCUGCAACUCGAGAGCAUGAAGCUGUAAUCGCUAGUAAUCGCGGAUCAGCACGCCGCGGUGAAUACGUUCCCGGGCCUUGUACACACCGCCCGUCACACCAUGGGAGUUGGUUUUACCUGAAGCCGGUGGGCUAACCGCAAGGAGGCAGCCGACCACGGUAGGGUCAGCGACUGGGGUGAAGUCGGAACAAGGUA
rnacentral:rRNA from 1 species